GACGAACGCUGGCGGCAGGCCUAACACAUGCAAGUCGAACGAGUGGCGGACGGGUGAGUAAUGUCUGGGAAACUGCCCGAGGGAGGGGGAUAACUACUGGAAACGGUAGCUAAUACCGCAUACCAUCGGAUGUGCCCAGAUGGGAUGAGCUUGUAGAUGAGGUAACGGGUCACCUAGGCGACGAUCCCUAGCUGGUCUGGGAGGAUGACCAGCCACACUGGAACUGAGACACGGUCCAGACUCCUACGGGAGUCAGCAGUGGGGAAUAUUGCACAAUGGGCGCAAGCCUGAUGCAGCCAUGCCGCGUGUAUGAAGAAGGCCUGCGGGUUGUAAAGUACUUUCAGCGGGGAGGCGUUACCCGCAGAAGAAGCACCGGCUAACUUCGUGCCAGCAGCCGCGGUAAUAC
rnacentral:rRNA from 1 species